AGUGAACGCUGGCGGUAGGCCUAACACAUGCAAGUCGAACGGCAGCACAGUAAGAGCUUGCUCUUACGGGUGGCGAGUGGCGGAUGGGUGAGGAAUACAUCGGAAUCUACUUUUUCGUGGGGGUUAACGUAGGGAAACUUACGCUAAUACCGCAUACGACCUACGGGUGAAAGCAGGGGAUCUUCGGACCUUGCGCGAUUGAAUGAGCCGAUGUCGGAUUAGCUAGUUGGCGGGGUAAAGGCCCACCAAGGCGACGAUCCGUAGCUGGUCUGAGAGGAUGAUCGGCCACACUGGAACUGAGACACGGUCCAGAGGCCUACGGGAGGCAGCAGUGGGGAAUAUUGGACAAUGGGCGCAAGCCUGAUCCAGCCAUACCGCGUGGGUGAAGAAGGCCUUCGGGUUGUAAAGCCCUUUUGUUGGGAAAGAAAAGCAGCAGGUUAAUACCCCGCUGUUCUGACGGUACCCAAAGAAUAAGCACCGGCUAACUUCGUG
rnacentral:rRNA from 1 species